rnacentral:rRNA from 1 species
UACGAAGGGUGCAAGCGUUGCUCGGAAUCAUUGGGCGUAAAGCGCACGUAGGCGGCUUGCCAAGUCGGACGUGAAAUCCCUCAGCUCAACUGAGGACGUGCAUCCGAAACUGGCGAGCUUGAGUACUGAAGAGGAUCGCGGAAUUCCCGGUGUAGAGGUGAAAUUCGUAGAUAUCGGGAGGAACACCGGUGGCGAAGGCGGGUCUCUGGGCAGUAACUGACGCUGAGGAGCGAAAGCGUGGGGAGCGAACAGG